GGCCAGCAUUUUAACAUACUGUAUCUCCAGGCCAGCAUUUUAACAUACUGCAUCUCCAGGCCAGCAUUUUAACAUACUGUAUCUCCAGACCAGCAUUUUAGCAUACUGUAUCUCCAGGCCAGCAUUUUAACAUACUGUAUCUCCAGACCAGCAUUUUAGCAUACUGUAUCUCCAGAGCAGCAUUUUAACAUACUGCAUCUCCAGGCCAGCAUUUUAACAUACUGCAUCUCCAGACCAGCAUUUUAGCAUACUGUAUCUCCAG